rnacentral:rRNA from 1 species
GACGAACGCUGGCGGCGUGCCUAAUACAUGCAAGUUGAGCGCUGAAGGUUGGUACUUGUACCGACUGGAUGAGCAGCGAACGGGGGAGUAACGCGUGGGGAAUCUGCCUUUGAGCGGGGGACAACAUUUGGAAACGAAUGCUAAUACCGCAUAAAAACUUUAAACACAAGUUUUAAGUUUGAAAGAUGCAAUUGCAUCACUCAAAGAUGAUCCCGCGUUGUAUUAGCUAGUUGGUGAGGUAAAGGCUCACCAAGGCGAUGAUACAUAGCCGACCUGAGAGGGUGAUCGGCCACAUUGGGACUGAGACACGGCCCAAACUCCUACGGGAGGCAGCAGUAGGGAAUCUUCGGCAAUGGACGAAAGUCUGACCGAGCAACGCCGCGUGAGGGAAGAAGGUUUUCGGAUCGUAAAACUCUGUUGGUAGAGAAGAACGUUGGUGAGAGUGGAAAGCUCAUCAAGUGACGGUAACUACCCAGAAAGGGACGGCUAACUACGUG